AACAACCCAGACCUUAGAAUAAGGUCCUUAAAUCUGAUCUAAGUGAGAAAGAUGGCAGUUGUUCAAUGUCGAUCAGGAUGUAGGCUUAGAAGCGGCCAUCAUCUAAGGAAAGCGUAACAGCUCACUGAUUAACGAAUGAUCUGUAUCGAAAAUGUAACGGGACUAAGUUCAGUACCGAAGUCAAGGGCGUUGCCAAUCCAGCAACGCAGUAGCAGAGCAUUCCGUAAGCCAAGGAAGACAACCCGUGAGGGUUGUUGGAGGUAUCGGAAGAGAGAAUGUUGACAUGAGUAACGAUAAUUGAAAGAAAGAACCUUUUCACACCGAAUGAUCAAGGUUUCCUGUUUGAAGUCGAUCUAAACAGGGUCAGCCGAUCCCUAAGGUAAAGCAUAAGUGCAUAGCCGAUGGCAAUCACGUUAAUAUUCGUGAGCCUUCCACAAGUGACUUAAUCCGAACCAUGUCCUGUCUAAAUGGAUUGACAUGGCAUGUUAGGAUUAACAAGAAACAGCUUGUGGAUGUUGUUCGUACCGAAGACCGACACAGGUGAUCGGGUAGAGUAUACCAAGGUGUAUGAGAUAAUUGUGUUGAAGGAACUCGGCAAACUGCAUGUGUAACUUCGGAAGAAACAUGACCGAUUAUGGGAAACCAGAGUCAGGUGUAACACAACGGAGGGAAGCGACUGUUUAUCAAAAACACAGGACUCUGCAAAAUUGUAAGAUGACGUAUAGAGUCUGACACCUGCCCGGUGCUGAUCAGCAAAAACCAGAUGUUUAAAGCAUCCGGUCUAAGUUUCAGUAAACGGCGGCCGUAACUAUAACGGUCCAAAGGUAGCGAAACCCCUUGUCGGGUAAGUUCCGACCAGCAUGAAUGGUGUAACGACUUCCCUGCUGUCUCCAGCACAAGCUCAGUGAAAUUGAAAUCCUCGUGAAGAUGCGAGGUACCUGCGGCAAGACGGAAAGACCCCGUGCACCUUCACUGCAACCUUGUAUUGAUGAACUUUUGAUCAAAUUGUACAGUGUAGAUGGUAAGCGAUAACCGUUGGCCGUUAGCCCAACGUUAGCUGCCAAUGAAACACCAUCCUGUUGUCAAAACAACAUCUCAUUGCUGUAAGUCAAUCUUAAUGUAAGAUCAUGCAAGGUGGGUAGUUUGACUGGGACGGUCACCUCCUAAAAAGUAACAGAGGUGUACACAAGGUAGGCUCAUGACGCUUGGAAAUCGUCAGUAGAGUACAAUGGCAUAUGCCUGCUAAGACUGCGAGGCAGACAUGUCGAGCAGAGACGAAAGUCGGUCAUAGUGAUCCAAUAACACCAUGUGGAAGGGUUGUUGCUUAACGGAUAAAAGGUACGCCGGGGAUAACAGGCUAAUAGCUCCCAAGAGUUCUUAUCGACGGAGCUGCUUGGCACCUCGAUGUCGACUCAUCGCAUCCUGGGGCUGAACAAGGUCCCAAGGGUAUGGCUGUUCGCCAUUUAAAGCGGUACGUGAGUUGGGUUCAGAACGUCGCAAGACAGUUCGGUCCCUAUCUGCCGUGGGUGUAAGAAUGUUGAUGGGAUCUGUCUCUAGUACGAGAGGACCGAGAUGGACAUACCUCUGGUAUCCCUGUUGUCGUUAUCAACCGGCAUGGUAGGAUGGCUAAGUAUGGAACAGAUAACAGCUGAAUGCAUCUAAGCCGGAAGCUAACCCAAAGACAAACCUUCUAUUAAGGGACGUGAUAGACCAUCACGUCGAUAGGUCAGAUGUGUAAGCAUGGUAACAUGCUCAGCUAACUGAUACUAACAACCCGAAAAUUAUGACAAC
rnacentral:rRNA from 1 species